GCGCACGGGUGAGUAACACGUGGGUAUGUACCUGUUAGUGGGGAAUAACCCUGGGAAACCGGGGCUAAUACCGCAUAAGUCCGAGAGGAGAAAGCCGAAAGGCGCUGACAGAGCAGCCCGCGGUCGAUUAGCUAGUUGGUGAGGUAAUGGCUCACCAAGGCGACGAUCGAUAGCCGGCCUGAGAGGGCACACGGCCACACUGGCACUGAAACACGGGCCAGACUCCUACGGGAGGCAGCAGUGGGGAAUCUUGCACAAUGGAGGAAACUCUGAUGCAGCGACGCCGCGUGAACGAUGAAGCCCUUCGGGGUGUAAAGUUCUUUCGACAGGGACGAUAAUGACGGUACCUGAAGAAGAAGCUGCGGCUAACUACGUGCCAGCAGCCGCGGUAAUACGUAGGCAGCGAGCGUUGUUCGGAAUUACUGGGCGUAAAGAGUGCGUAGGUGGUUGGCUAAGUUUGGUGUGAAAUCUCCCGGCUUAACUGGGAGGGUGCGCCGAAAACUGGCUGGCUAGAGUGUGGGAGAGGAACGUGGAAUUCCUGGUGUAGCGGUGAAAUGCGUAGAUAUCAGGAGGAACACCUGAGGUGUAGACGGCGUUCUGGACCAUUACUGACACUGAGGCACGAAAGCGUGGGUAGCAAACAGGAUUAGAUACCCUGGUAGUCCACGCCCUAAACGAUGCAAACUUGGUGUGCGCCCUUCAUUGGGUGCGUGCCGAAGCUAACGCGUUAAGUUUGCCGCCUGGGGAGUACGGUCGCAAGGCUGAAACUCAAAGGAAUUGA
rnacentral:rRNA from 1 species